CCAAUAGCGUAUAUUAAAGUUGUUGCAGUUAAAAAGCUCGUAGUUGAAUUUCGGGAUUGACACAUCGGUUGUGCCUUAAGGGGUAUGAACUGGUGUAGUCAAUUUCUCACCUUCUGGAGAACCGCGAUGCCCUUAAUUGGGUGUCGCGGGGAACCAGGACCUUUACUUUGAAAAAAUUAGAGUGUUUAAAGCAGGCAUUUUGCUUGAAUACAUUAGCAUGGAAUAAUAAAAUAGGACGGCAUGAUUUUAUUUUGUUGGUUUCUAGGAUCACCGUAAUGAUUAAUAGGGAUAGUUGGGGGCAUUAGUAUUCAAUUGUCAGAGGUGAAAUUCUUGGAUUUAUUGAAGACUAACUACUGCGAAAGCAUUUGCCAAGGAUGUUUUCAUUAAUCAAGAACGAAAGUUAGGGGAUCGAAGACGAUCAGAUACCGUCGUAGUCUUAACCAUAAACUAUGCCGACUAGAAAUCAGACGAUGUUAAUUUUUUAAUGACUCGUUUGGCACCUUACG
rnacentral:misc_RNA from 1 species